AACGAACGCUGGCGGCAUGCUUAACACAUGCAAGUCGAACGCCUAGCUUGCUAGGAGUGGCGCACGGGUGAGUAACAUGUGGGAACUUGCCUUCUAGUACGGAAUAAUUUUGGGAAACUGAAACUAAUACCGUAUACUCCCUUAUUGGUGAUUCUUUAAGGGGAAAGAUUUAUCGCUAGAAGAUAGGCCCGCACUAGAUUAGCUUGUUGGUAAGGUAAUGGCUUACCAAGGCUACGAUCUAUAGCUGGUUUGAGAGAACGAUCAGCCACACUGGGACUGAGACACGGCCCAG
rnacentral:rRNA from 1 species